GAUGAACGCUGACAGAAUGCUUAACACAUCAGCAAUUGAUUGGUGGCGGACGGGUGAGUAAAGCGUAAAGAACUUGCCUCACAGCUGGGGACAACAUUUGGAAACGAAUGCUAAUACCCAAUACUGUGAGAGGGCUUUGCGUCACAUUAGCUAGGUGGAGAGGUAACGGCUCACCAAGGCGAUGAUGGGUAGCCCGCCUGAGAGGUUGAUCGGCUGCAAGGGGAAUGAGACACAGCCCUUACUGCUACGGGAGGCAGGUGUGGGGAAUAUUGGACAAUGGACCAAAGUCUGAUCCAGCAGUGUUGUGGGCACGAUGAAGUUUUCGGAAUGUAAAGUGCUUUUAUUGGGGAAGCGGUACCAACAGAAUAAGUGACGGCUAACUACGUGCCAGCAGCCGCGGUAAUAC
rnacentral:rRNA from 1 species